AGAGUUUGAUCCUGGCUCAGAUUGAACGCUGGCGGCAUGCUUUACACAUGCAAGUCGAACGGCAGCACGGGGGCAACCCUGGUGGCGAGUGGCGAACGGGUGCGUAACGCGUGGGAAUCUGCCCUUCGGUUCGGAAUAACAGUUAGAAAUGACUGCUAAAUACCGGAUGAUGACUUCGGUCCAAAGAUUUAUCGCCGAGGGAUGAGCCCGCGUAGGAUUAGCUAGUUGGUGAGGUAAAGGCUCACCAAGGCGACGAUCCUUAGCUGGUCUGAGAGGAUGAUCAGCCACACUGGGACUGAGACACGGCCAAGACUCCUACGGGAGGCGAC
rnacentral:rRNA from 1 species